rfam:Schistosoma mansoni strain Puerto Rico chromosome W, complete genome
AUCCAGCUGACGAGUUGCAAAUAGAACGAAACGCACGUCCUGGAU